AACGAACGCUGGCGGCAGGCUUAACACAUGCAAGUCGAGCGCCCCGCAAGGGGAGCGGCAGACGGGUGAGUAACGCGUGGGAAUCUACCAAUCACUACGGAACAACUCCGGGAAACUGGAGCUAAUACCGUAUACGUCCUUCGGGAGAAAGAUUUAUCGGUGAUGGAUGAGCCCGCGUUGGAUUAGCUAGUUGGUGGGGUAAGGGCCUACCAAGGCGGCGAUCCAUAGCUGGUCUGAGAGGAUGAUCAGCCACACUGGGACUGAGACACGGCCCAGACUCCUACGGGAGGCAGAAGUGGGUAAUAUUGGACAAUGGGCGAAAGCCUGAUCCAGCCAUGCCGCGUGAGUGAUGACGGCCCUAGGGUUGUAAAGCUCUUUCGCAGGUGAAGAUAAUGACGGUAACCUGAGAAGAAGCCCCGGCUAACUUCGUGCCAGCCGCCGCGGUAAAAC
rnacentral:rRNA from 1 species